AAUAAAGAGAGAUAAGUGUCAGUUUUAAAGUUUAGAAUUGGGAGAUUUACUGUUUCAGAAUUGAGAGAAGGAUAAUAUUGUACAAUAGAAUAGAUGAAAAUUCCAGAAGAUUUUGAGUUUACUAAUGUAUAAUGCAGAACUAAAUACAGACAUUGAAAUAAUAAUCAGUAGUAAAACCUUGUACUAUCAACAGUCAGGGUUACUUGAAAAAGUGCCAAAUUAUCUUGUAUCAUUAAGAAUAGAAUAGCGAUUAGGGCUUUGAAAUUUUGUAUCAACUGUAAUUUUUCUAUUUAAAUAAAAACUAUGAGGUAUAGGUUGUUGGUUGUUGAAUACAAAAUAUUGAUUAAAGAUAUAAAGCACAAAUUUGCUUUAGGCUAUUAUUACGGUAGAAUAUGUAACUAUGUAUGUUGCCUCAUUCUUACAAUCUCACAUACAUAGGGUAUGGAUACCUUACCCUAAAUUGAUAAGAUCUCAUGUUUGAUGAUGAUGACAAAUUACUUUUUUUGUACCAUUUUUAAAUAAAAUUAAGUAUUAGCUUCUCUAAACACAAAACUUGUACCCUAAUCUUAUUUGAUGAUGAUCUCAAUAUCUAAUUUACUGUUUACUGUCAAACAUUAGAAGGUAUAUUUGCUUAUCGGUCGAAGAACUAAUUCAAUCGCGCGAGAGGAAAAUUACCAGUAAUAAAGAAAAGUGAAUAACAACUUCCAGUUGUGAAAAAUGGUUUCCAUUGUCAGUGAGCGGGCGGCGCCCCGUCCCGGGAUGCUAAUUGUCGGAUCUCCGCUCUCGUUCACUUGUUUCCGCGGAACUCCGACAUUGUGACAGAAGAAUGUAUAAACAAUGUGAAUGUACUGCCUGCUAAGGCAAUCGGGGAAUGAAACCGACAGGGAUUUACUUUUAUGGUUCGACAAACACAUCUUUAUCAUUGUGUUUGCCUACCUAAGCUCAUUAGCUACGAUUGCCUUCAAUUAAAUUUAAGUUCUUUCGCAAGAGCAAAACAAACGCUACUGAAUAUUCAUAAUUGACGUUCCAGAUUCGGCUGUACUUAGCAACUACUAAUUGUUUUCUUAUAGUUCGGAUGAAGGCAUAAAUCGUACUCGCCACGUGUAAGAUGCCGAGAUGAGGUGAUGGUGACGCUAUGCGUCAGUUUGAUGUAUUUAUAGCGGUGCGGGUCGCGCGGUGGUGCGAGCGCUCGGGCUCCCCUCAGCCGUGACUACAGACACCACACCUCGCCACCCUCUGACCACAUUAUUACCUGACCCGUCACUCAGGACCCUGACCAGGCUGUUAAACACCCGAUGACAUUGGAACGCUUUAAUGGAUUUAGACAAAUUAGUGUGAACGACCGAUUGCGCUCGAGAUGCAAAUCUGCAAGCAAACAACACUGACGCUUACUUCAUUUGUUUAUAUGCAAUGUUGGGGUAAACGAAUUGUAGUUUUUUCUUGUUUAAAAUAAGGCGAUGUGCCUAAAGAUAAGAUAAAUCGGUCAAUUGACUUGAUAAGUGAGCAUAGUGACUAGCAAGGGUAUCUUAUCAGGAAUCCUUAUUUGUCAGUUUGAAUCAUCAUCAGUGUGAAGUGUAACUGGGCUUCCAUCCGCGUUCAUCUACCUUUCUGUUGACAUGUCCUGGCGCUCACCUGUCAGUGGUCUUAUUUGCCACGUUCGCUCACAAUACAUCUCAAACGAGAAUAGGCACAGUCAAUAAUUAAAUAUGUGAAAACAUAAACCGGCUUUCGGCACGCAGUAGAUGGCUGUGAGCGAAAUCGUUAUCAUAAUCUAAUAUCCGUCCCUUGUUGCUGUAAUCAAGCACUUAGCCACUCCAUGUUGAUGUUGUUAGAUUCCUAUCCAAUUAUUGACUGUUCACGGCCGAAAUCCUGGAUAGAGUUUGCAAACACAUCCAUCAAUCAAUCCGGCUAUUGCUCGAGCUGUGUUUCUUUAACCUUUUGAUACUGGUAGUUACCGUAGCCGUGUUAGGAGCUAUAUCAGUUCCGUUGCAAGGAACUAGUUUGAUUUAUAAAGUACAGUACACUUUUAAACUAGUGACCCCUAUGGUAAUAAAUAAUGCUGAGCGUAUUACUCCAAUUAAUUGAAUAGAUACGCUCGAUCACUAUAUCGUCUAUAUCAAUCGUAACGCGAUUAUUUAACGUCUAUACAUUCGUUUAUAAAGCGGCCAUGUGUUUUGCGUCAUAAAAAAAUCUUAGGACCGUACAUAUUGGAUUUUUAAAUGAUUUUUAUAGAUUAGCUAAUUCUAUUUUUGUAAGACAUUUUAUGUGUCCUUUACUUUAUGAGUUUAAAGAUCUUUUAGAAUAUUUUAGUGUGACUAGUUUGGUCAUUUGAUUCUGAGAAUGUCUGCAAAUGCAUAUGUUUUACUAAUUAACUUGACAAGUACACGAAUCAACAUUGUAAACUUAUCCUCAUUGGCUGCGUACCUACGUAGGUACCUAUGUUCCAUUAUUUCUUGAUUAAUAGUUGUUCUUGUUCAUAUUUAUUACACACAUACGACAUAAUAUUAUUAUGCGAAAUUAUAAAUUCACGAUGGAACAAAAAUGUGUCUGAAGUCGCUGAACAAAAAUUGCUCAGUUUUAGUAAAUUCAGAAAGUAUUAGAUACCAAACGUCUGAUAAUACCAACUUGAUAAAUAAGAAAAGAUAAAACAUAGAGAUUCACAGAAUCUGCUCAAAUUGAAUUGAGUUUAAAAGCAGAAUGGUUUGUAUCAUAUUUGCAGAUUUCAUAGCAAUCUUGAUAGACCUUUCAAACGCAAUCGCGAUCAAAGGCUAACCCAGCUAUGAGUAUCUAGCCAUAGUUACAACAUUUAAUAGAAAUGUCUGAUUAUAUUUAUUUCAUUUGCGUUGUUAGUCCUUGUAUCAUGUCGCAACUGAUACAAAAGUAAGAUGAUAAGUUUUUAUUUUCAGAGCUAGCUGGUUUGCAGGUAAAUAGGUAGCAUAGUUAACUUUUUAUUCCGAAACCCCUCGUCGGUUUAAGGGCAGCAAAAUUCGCAGGCAAAAGGCAGUAGCACAUAAUUCUUAACGUUAUCUCAUAACAGUAAUGCAACACUACACAUGCUGCCUAUAAAUACUAACACAUGAUUUUGCAGACCACUCCAAAUUGAUAAUACAGU